AUACUCUGGUUUCUCUUCAAAUUGUAUAAAUCUUUUGCCUUUUACUAAAGAUUUCUGUAGAGAGGAACAAUUCUGAGUCUUUUUUUUUUUUUUUUGAGACGGAGUUUCACUCUUGUU